rnacentral:lncRNA from 1 species
AUUCCAGACCAGCUUGGCCAACAUGGUUAAAACUCAUCUCUACUAAAAAUACAAAAAAUUAGCCAGGUAACGUGGUGCAUGUCUAUAAUCCCAGCUACUCAGGAGGCUGAGGCACAAGAAUCACUUGAACCUGGCAGGCAGAGAUUGCAGUGAGCCAAGAUUGUGCCACUGCGCUGUAGCCUGGGUGACAGAGUGAGACUCUGUCUCAAAGAAAAGAAAGUAAUGGCAUUACUUUUAAUGGCAUAAACUGCAAUUACUUUUGUGCCAACCUAAUAUAUUCUUUAUUGCAAGGACAGAACACUUUUUUUGUUCAAAUCUAGAGUAAUCUGUUUAAAGAUAUUUUUGCAUCUUUUGUGUUAUUAAAAUGUAGCUCAUUAUAUCUCCUUAAGAUAUCUAGCAUUUUGCUUCAACAAAGCCAUCCAUGUGAUUUGUUUGCAUCUUAUAUUUACUAAAGACAACUUUUUCUGCCUCAACUGGAAAGAGGCCUAUGACUUUCUAUAUUAAAAUAUAACUUUAAAUCUUUUUUGCCCUUUAAUAUUAUUGUUUUCUCAGCAUUGGAGUUCUUCCUGUCUUCUCUCAAGAAGAGAGAGAAAUUCUACAUUUAUUCUUGAAAGAAGAAUCAAGAAGAACAUGACAUAUCUAAAAAGAGACGGGAUUUUACCAAUUUGGCCAUGCUGGUCUCGAACUCCUGACCUCAGGUGAUCCGCCCACCUCAGCCUCCCAAAGUGCUAGGAUUACAGGCAUGCGCCACCAUACCAGCCUCCUGCUUUCAAUGAAGACUAUUUUUGAAAAAUGUUGAUUAAAUAAUAUAAAUAAAUUAAGCCAAAAUUUUGUCUCUAAAUCAUGGCCGUUAUCUAUGUAGAGUAUCUGACUAUGAAAUUUCUCCCCUAUCAAGAAGAUAAUUUGCAACUGUGAUUUGUAUGAACUAAAUUUAGAUAUUAGAUGUGAAAUUGAGAUCAAUGAUUGACAAGCAUUU